UCUUUCGUAGUAUAGUGGUCAGUAUAUGAGCUUGUCAUACAAAAAGAUGGACUACAUCUUGCAGUAACAACGCUCGAGACCCGGGUUCAAUUCCCGGCGAAAGAG
rnacentral:tRNA from 1 species